CCAGCAAUAAGAGGAGGGGAGUCCCUCAAAGCCACUCUCUCUCUCUCUCUCUCUCUUUUUUAUUUUAGCCCCUUUCUUUCAGAUUUAACCAUGGAAUUACUUCUCCCUGUUAGAACUGUAGUUUUCGUAACUCAGCCCUAAUGCCAGAGGGCCAUGUGGCCUCAGAAUGGACAGCACACAUCCUUGUAGCAACUUCCUCGGAGCCCUGGAGGGUGGAGGAGAGAGGAGGGGUGGGGAGGGAAAAUGCGAGCCCUCCCUGGAGUGGGGGUACAAUUCUUCUCACAUCCCUUAUGAGUGAGCUUCUCCAGGCACAUCUCUGGCCAAAACGGGGGAGCCGAACCCAAACCCUUGCCUUGUGGGAAGUGGAGAUUUGGUCCCUUUCAGCUUUUGUUCAAAGUCUCCUAUAAAAGGGAGCCGCCCUGUCCCACCCGGGACUUCAGGGAAGCUGUGCCCUCCCCAGAAAUGACAAAUGGAAAAGACAGAACGGACUCCAGCCAGGCCAGGAUACAGUCUCUGGAAAGAGGUUGUUUUUGUCUCCAGUGCCAUAGAAAACACAUCCUCUUAACUUAUUAAGUAGGGAAACAGCACGAUCACACACGCUGGAGGUUACCAAGGUGAACAGAGUCCAAGAUUAAAAUCUGCCAGCCCAGUGGUGCAUGGAAGCGUGGAAGGCCCAAAGAGGAAAUCUAGUUCACUGUUGGUAAAUUUUUUUGGAUGCUGUUUAUGUUUGAACUUUUCUCUGUUUUCCUGUAGAAACUUCCGUACCCUCUUCCUGUGUCCCUACAAAAGGCCUGGACAAUGCAGUCCCAGCACCGCUGUAGGACAUGGGCAGGGCCCCACCUUCCUCCUUCCUGCAGGGAUAUCCUUUCCUAUAGAAGAGAUCCAGGACCACUGUUUUUCUGCAGUAACUUGAGAACCAGGAGAUUGGAAGUAGAGGUGUGUUUUCACCCAGGCGAGCGGCACAGGCUGGGCACAGAGUGUGUCUGCACAGCACUGUAUGAUAGUUUACCCAGAAAGCCCUCAAGCUGCACCUUUCAUGAUUCAGAAGAGACCAUAACUCUGGCCAGCCAGUGAUCAUGGGUGCAAGCUGCCAACCAGCAGGCUGAUGGUUCACCUGCCUAGAAUAGAGAAUUCAGUUGGCCAAACUAGGACCACAUGCCCACCCUAGAGGCCAUGAUGUUGGAGUCCUGGGAUUGUCUGCAGAGCAGAGCCUCACAUGGAAGACAGAAGAGCAGAUCCUGAAAGAAAUGGUUACCAGGCAGACAUCCAUUGCAUUAGACCACAGUGAUCCUUUUUCUUAGAGACCUGUCAGUUGACAUGGCAAUUCUGCUCCCUAAAGAUACCUCCAUAACAGCUUAUCUGCCAAGUGAUAACUUUUCUUGUCUCCAUGGGCUCCACUUAGGUAGGUCUUACCCACUCAAAAGACUCAUGUGCCCAGAGGAGACAGACACACUCACUCUGUUAAAGUGAUCUAGGUACUCUCUGCAUAGCAUAUCCCAGAACAUCUUUUUGUACAUUUGUUUCUUAUUGUUUAGUUCAUGAAUAAAACAUGAAUCUAGUUUACA
rnacentral:lncRNA from 1 species